GCGUAGAGAUCUGGAGGAAUACCGGUGGCGAAGGCGGCCCCCUGGACAAAGACUGACGCUCAGGUGCGAAAGCGUGGGGAGCAAACAGGAUUAGAUACCCUGGUAGUCCACGCCGUAAACGAUGUCUACUUGGAGGUUGUGCCCUUGAGGCGUGGCUUCCGGAGCUAACGCGUUAAGUAGACCGCCUGGGGAGUACGGCCGCAAGGUUAAAACUCAAAUGAAUUGACGGGGGCCCGCACAAGCGGUGGAGCAUGUGGUUUAAUUCGAUGCAACGCGAAGAACC
rnacentral:rRNA from 1 species